GUUCGAGGAUUUUCUUGGGGGGGGGGGACCCUCACAGAUAAGGAUUUACACUGUUUUCCUGACCAAGUGAAAGAGCCUAAUUCUCUAAAGCCUUGCUCAUUCAACCCAAUUUGAAAUGCAUUUAUCGAAAGCAUCAGUUAUGCCAAUGCUGAUACAAAGUGCAUUAAGUAUGGCCCUUGAUCUUGGAAAACAAUUCAGACUGGUGCAAGAGACAGAAAAAGAAACAUUUAAGGCUUGUCUUCAAUUUGAUACCUAAUCAAGUCAGGAAAGGGGGUGCAUUCUGAAGUCUUCACAAAGAAGAAACACCUGAAUGACCUACAGCCUUUCCCUGUGCUCACCCUUCUUAUGGUUAUGUCCAUAAGAUUUUUGAGCUGAACUCGCGGAAAAGUCAUUUGAGCUACCGAUGUUUAUUUCCCCCAUUCUGCCACUAAACUCCCUUCUAGGGUACCGCUGAGAGCU